UGGUCUACAUAAAAACUGAGAACCUAAGGGGAGUUGAGCCUCGGAUUUCUUCUUCCUCUUUUCUCUUUUCGUCUCUCUCUGUGACUGAAACUCCAGGAAUAAAACAGAAAUUUUUCUUGCAUGAUUGAGAUUCGUGGUCUUAGAUUUCUGUUAAGCUGCAGAUGUCGUUGAUUUGUGUUGGAUAGUUUCAUAGACGAGAUGGAGCUGUUCUCCUCUUCUGAAUUGGUUUCUCUUGAAAUUUUCUGAGGUUAAAAAUCUAGAGAAUUUGUUGAGAAAUCUAAGGAGUCGAGCUUGGAAAACCACUAAUUCGUUGUUGUUGAUCUUUGUGUUGUUUGCAUGGAAGAGUUUGAUAAGAACAGUACACAAUGUAGAUAUGAGCUUGCAUGGUAAAUUUACUAAAUUGGUUGUAAAUGUCUGGAGUUCGAAUGGUGAUGCAUAUGCUGAACUUCUAUAUGGUUUCGAAGGAUGCUGUACGAUCUGAAUUUAUAUUUAAGAGAUCAAGUUUCAAUCAUUUUUCUUAUGUAUAACCAUGUAAUAUCUCUGUCGACAUCAUUGCACGAGUUAACAACUGUUGGGGUUCUAGUUUAGUAUUUGAUGCGAAUCUAGACAUCCAAGGGUGUGCCACAUUGAUUAUAUAUUAUUAUUUAUCCUCUGUAUAA